rnacentral:lncRNA from 1 species
UCUUCAGUGCAAAUACGUCACCGACUUUUUCUCUCUAUCACAUCUCUAUUGCAAAUAAGUUGCUGGCUUUAUCUUCGAUGCAAACACAUUGUGAACUCUCUCUCUCUAGUGCAAACACCAUAUCGGCAUUUACUUCUCUCCCUCCCUCCCUUUCUUUCUGGUGCAACCAUUUUGUUGUAAUUGUUUGGGAUAUACUAAUUGGGUGCAAGGUAUCUUUUCACUAUUGUUACUUCAUUAGAGGCAAAAUAUUUUAGUGGAUGUAUAAAAUAUAUAUGAAAUAUUGUAAAAAAUUUAUGAUAUAGAAAAUAUAGAGACCGUUCAAUUA